CCUGCGUGAACAGGUACGAGACGACGAGGACGGCACAAGUAUGGUGACAGUCCGUCGGUCGACGGCUUUAAUGUGAAGUCAGGAGUCAGGAGUGGAUAGGUCUUUCAGCUAGGGUAGGCGUUUAAGGUGGAAUAGGGAGGGUUUAGCUAGGGCUGGAGGUGGCGGCGGAGGAAGUCGCCAUGUGAACCAGCCGGCGGCGGCGGGUAACGCAUAAACGUACACCUCUUCGUUUGUCACGUCUCUGCUUCCGGUGGCGUCUAGCCUCCGAUCCCUAGUCUAUUCCUCCCCCUACGCAGAAGAAAGACGAGGUCCUCCAGGUUCGAUCGACUAUAUUGUACUGACGUCUUUUCGCAUAUGGCAAUGUACUUAAUGCACUCUAAUGUUUACCUAAGAGUCACCUGAGUUCUUAUCCUGUCCCACCCAUACCUCUACAAAUGUUCCCUGACAUGUUUCCUUCUCUACAACGACACUUCAACGAAGUACAACUAUGCUAUGUUCCUUAGCUACUAGUUGUUAUAGAGUUACUUCAACCAUUGGAAAACUCCCAAUUCGUAGGUUUAUAGCACGUCAAUGAACCAAUAUCAAUACUUUGUUGAAGACUUAACCAACUUGUGUUCCCAUUCGUUCCAGAAUCAUUUGUGUAUAUAUCUCAGGAGACGAAGCUCAUGAACGUCCCACUUUCGGAUCUGUUCGCAGAAGGACUUCUUAGAAAACGUGGACUAACCUCGUAUGCAAUGUACUAAUAUUUCCCGUAAACACUUCCUAAUUUAAAGGAAGUGUCCACACUUGGUGGUUAAAAAGUAGAACUAGAUUUCGGACGGUUAUAUAAUGAUCUGUCAAGGUACUACGGAUUUCACCGUCUAAAACCUAACAGUUCCCAGUAGUCAGUUAGUGUGUGAGUUCAGUGUUUUGUUUAGUUUCCUUGGGUCCGCAUGUACGGUGGUCUUAAGUAUUUUCUACCGAUAUAGAGUGCAUUCUUACUACAGAAGUCAAAUCCUGAACACUACUAUCUCUAUUACUGUCCCAGAAACCCAAUGAGGCCAGUAUAUCUUUACCUGCUUCAGCACGUUAAAUGCGUCUUCCAUGAAUCGUUAACCUUCUUAUCCUAUUUCCGGUGAAGUCUCAUGGGUAAUCUCCUUAGUGUAGUUCACGUCUGUACGUAGCUGUGUCGUUACGCAACAUACCUUGAACUGUCUUUGUUAGCUGGUUGAUAUCGUCUUCAUGACCUAUGAGACUUGUUCUGUCUUUGAGUAUAAGGGUUCUCUGUCUACUAUCUACACGAGGGCACAGGUUGAUAACCCGAGUCCUCGCUCAGAUUAUACAACCUCUACUACCAACGACUUGACUUGUCAUUACUAUUGCCUGUAUCGUUAAGCUACGGUUGUCUAUCGAGAUUGGCACGACACGUCGUUCAAGGACUGUCCCUUUGUAGUAGUCUACACCUUCUUCAUUAGUAGCCUUCCUGACUCCUUUUUGUCUUUUAUAACAGAUAAAAUAGGCUCGUGUAGUGUCUUUUUUACCAGUAGGAAGGUUAUAUACCGUAACCUCCGUAACCGUUCUGUUGGAACCGUGUUUACCAUAAGUUACUGGUUGUCAAACUUCUGAUGUGAGCCCACACCCAUAUACAAAGGGGCCUUAAAUUGAACGUAUUCUAUCCGUUGAGAUAUUAUUACGUCAAUUGUCUGUUCUAGUCGUUAUAUAGAUGGUUUGUCUACGAAGUAUUGGCGGAAUUUCUCGACAAACGACCAUUCUCCUAGGAAUAACAAAACCUACUAGACACCCUCCUCUUGGGUUUUCUCAAGCUAUUUGAUUUCCAAUACGAUCCCGAACCGCACCCUUCAUUCCACUAAUAUCAUUGAUGUGCACUACCUCCGGAGCGUUCCUUUAAAACAUCAGGACGUCAACGUGGUAUGUUCGACCUCUGAAACUGCCAACUACUCACGACCUGAUAUUAAUUUGUAUUUCGACUGAAACUUUUGGCUCACCUAGUUCUUGUUAACCUCGUAUAUCCUUCCCUCUAACGUCGGUUUACACCUCCUCACCGGAAUCGCCGAGUUAGUGAACCUAUGUACAACUUGCCGUACUGAAGUCUACUUACCCUCAGCCACUCUCUAUCAAUAUAGACCUUAGAUAGCUCAAACCUCCCGGUACUUCACGAACGCAGGAAUGCCGAUUCGAUAUCGGUGUACAGACGAACCAACUCCAACACGAAAAGGAUAACACGUUAUAAAGGUUUUCCAGUGUUUUAUCACUUCAUACUAGAUUAAGUGGUUACCUAACGAGAACCUAAGUAGUUCGUUAGAUCAUAUAAACUAAGGUACGUCGAGACACUCUUAAUACAGUGUGUUGAAAACCCCUACAGGAAGGAAGUUAUAAGUUUCUGUGAAAGUUCACUGUGUUUUGCUUUGCUUCUACAGUAUAACAAGUGCUACGUACUGGAUCAUAUACUAGAGCGUUUUCUCUGGAACAGCGUAGUUUAAUCGCAACCCCCCUUAUUAACGGCGAUGUGUAACGAGAGUCUGACAUCUCUCAGUAACGUCAUAAAGCACCGAAAAGGACGUUUAUAUUCCCGCGACGUAAAAGUCCUGACGCCGUUAUUUGUUGAGGCACCGUCACGUAAAAGCGGUCGAUUCACGGAGGCACAGAACCUAAAUUCACUUACAAAAUAAGUCUUCAAUGGACUAACAUAACCGGUUGACUUCGUCGACUCUAAAGAAGUACGAGGUGCCUAUGUUCUAUUCUACUAAGGGUUAACAUAGUGGCUCGAGAGUCUUAAUUUAAUAGAGUUGGAAUCUCCGAGACUCUUUUAGUGUCGUGACGGCCUCAGUUAACCACUAUACUUUCCAGACUACGUAGAACUAAAUAGUCUAACGUUACCAUAUGAACUUGAGGGUUAUAGUAAGCGCCUCGACUGCGUCAACCACGUAAACCUAAAUAGUGCAACGUCUCAUAGAUAUAGUUUUCGAAAACCACCGAAAUGGUUUGAAGUCAUGAACCUAAAUUGUCAAGUAAUAUUCUAUCAGUGUCUAUCCUCUCCCGAUCGUCUCCAGUAGCCAUUAGAUUAGUUUGAGUUCAUAGAUUUAGAUAGUUCAACGUAAGCCUAAUACCAGGGAAGUCUUAUAGUCUAACCGUCGAACGAACUGUUUUAGUCGUGGGAAAGGUUAGAUCUCGUAGACCAGAACAGACUCUUACUUCUCGAAAGUUCAUAUGGUCUUUCAUAAUCGUUGGAGUCCUUCGAAGUAUGUGACCUGGAGAGUUCGACGGUGGAUUUCUUCGAGGGGCUAUCAUAUUUAGUCUACCAAUCAGACUUCCAAGAUUUAAACUUUCCACAAUUGACUUCACGUUGUUCGAUGGUGGUGAACCAGAUGAUGGUUUGAAUGCUCUGGACUCAGAGUGGGCAUACCUCCCGAACCUUCUUACCUUGUGCUGUGUAAUGUCACCGCUCCUUCCAAGUUUACUCGAGAACAAGGGAUUCGAACUCCUCAACUCCUAUCUCGUUACACCGUUCGACUCCUAUUUUGGCACAGACGGACCCCUCUCGCGGUUCAUAAACACGUAUGCUCCAACACUAUGAUACGAUAGUAGUACCCCUCUCGCGAGCAGUGUGACGUCAUGAAGGAGGAGAAGAGGCAAUUGACUCGACCUUCAACGACUUUCGUUCCACGGGUACGUAGUCACCUCCAACGAAGUGGUGGAGGGACGGGAAGCAUUUAAUUGAUAGUGACUAACGUCACUAGACUGGUGGAGUGGACUCUAGUAGGUGUCGGAGAGAAGGGAAUCUCGCAACACGAAACAUAAUAACAGCGUCCGUCCUGACGGCUCUCCCAACCAACUUGACUGUAGAGACGUCCUUGAUUGAGACAUAGCCACACGUUGGUAUAGUCAUGGUCUCACCAAUCCCCUUAAUUGGAGAGAGUUCGCAAAACACUAUCCCGCGACGGUCCCCUACUCCAGAAACGGACUGUCGUAUGUUCGCUGCUUCGAACUUAUAAAUGUUUAACUGCUGCUUACGGGAUGUAACCACUUCACCACAUUUAGUCUCUUAUUGUUCUACUUCGAGCGAGUGUAUUUUUUUCACUUGAAGGAUAAGCUGAGUCUACUUCUUCUGCUCAGUUUACUUCUUCUGUAUCGUCUACUGAGUCUACUUCUUCUCUAUCGCCUCUGGCAACUCCUCUGUUGGUGUUAACUACACCGGUUGCGUUCUCCACGGCAGGUGUUAAGUCAUCGACAGUAAGUACCGUGACACUGACUACUCCACGCGGUUGCCAAGUCCUACACGACAACAUGUCACGACACUACUUGUACGGACCGAAGAACAGAGUACCUGUUCUUACCGAGACGUAUAACAGAUUAGGACAUCAGAGUCCACCACUAGUACAGUAUCACUAUGAAGAUUAGAUACUAAACAAAGAACAGAUGAGUGCACAACUGAGCAUCGGCAAACGGUAAAGGGAUUAAUUACAAACAAGACCACGCACCUAAUAAUUAUACUACGAGACAAACACUUUUGACUCUACUUGGACUUCUUCGAAAUGUAAUGCCUUGUACCCACUUCUAGUUUUCUUCAGUUCCCAUCCCGUAAGUCAAAAUUAGACACGACAUUGUUACUCUUACUUUUCUGCUUUACUGUCUCCACUUCCGCUGUGCAAGAAGAGGCACCACGAGAAACGCAACUACCUCGUGUGGGACUCCAUGACAACUUCUCUCGUUCUAAGGAUAGGUAGUCACCCCCAACGAAGUGGUGGGGGGGACGGGAGACAUUCAAUUGAUGGUUUCCAACGUCACUAGACUGGACUCUAGUAGGUGUCGGAGAGGAGGGAGCUGGUCCGUCUUGACGGCUCUACUAAAUGUUCUUGACUGGUUCGAACUUAUAUAUAUAAGUAAGAACCGACGGGACGUAAUCUCUUCACCAAACUUAGUUUCCUCUUGUCCUACUUCGAGUGAACGUAGUCACAUACACGUACGGUUCGCAGGUAAGAGCUUAACUGAUCACUGUUAAGACAGAAAUUGGUGUUUAUAUAUGACAUGUGUGUAACGUACUCAUAUAAAGGGAGUAUUCAAC
rnacentral:rRNA from 1 species